AAAAACCCCCGUAAUAUGAAAAACUACAUCUAGUUGGCCGAGAAAUUAACUGUCAAUUUUUCGUUGGAACAAAAGUUGUAUUUCGACCUACAGGCUAGAGAAAUUUCAGUUGCCUUCGAGUCGAGCUACAGGCCGGUCGCAUUUCUCUAACAAAUUUCAAAAAUGUAUCAAAAUUUUUAGUUAAAAAACUACACUGCCGUCGGCACACGGGUUGUUUCCUCGCCAUAAUCCGAGGAAUCCACUCUAAACCUUAAUGUAAAAUUCAUUUUCAAAGGCGUCUAGGUGAAUACAACAAAAAAAAACCCCCGUAAUAUGAAAAACUACAUCUAGUUGGCCGAGAAAUUAACUGUCAAUUUUUCGUUGGAACAAAAGUUGUAUUUCGACCUACAGGCUAGAGAAAUUUCAGUUGCCUUCGAGUCGAGCUACAGGCCGGUCGCAUUUCUCUAACAAAUUUCAAAAAUGUAUCAAAAUUUUUAGUUAAAAAACUACACUGCCGUCGGCCCAAGGGUUGUUUCCUCGCCAUAAUCCGAGGAAUCCAAACCAGGAAACGACAUUGAUAAUGAUUGCCCACAUGAUGCUCCAUAACUGCCGGAGGAUCAUCCAGCUGCAAAAACCAUGACACUGGACUACUUUCUUAAUGGAGCUACCACGAGAAGGAUAUACACUAAAAGUGCAGCCCCCCAAGGCGCGUACACAUUGUUACAGCAACAGUGCCAACGAAAAGUCGGCACACGGCUUGGUUCCUCGCCCGAAUCCGAGGAACCUAAGCCGGGAAAUGACGUUUAUUAUGAUUCGCCACAUCUUCGACCAUAUUCCUCACUACUCAUGAACACGAUGCUUUAUGAAGCCGGAUGGGCACCAGACGACAGCCCAGUUCAGGAGGAUCAGCUGCAAAAACCAUGACACUAGACUGUAAAAGUACAGUCCCCCCAAAGCGCGUACACAUUGUUACAGUUACAUUUCACAAGGCUUGGUUUCUCGACGUUGAUAAUGAUUCGCCACAUUAUCACGAUGCUUUAUAACUGAUACUCCGUUGAAUUGGCUACGAAUUUACAUACUUUACACACGUUGCACGUUAUCUAUUGCGAUUUACAAUUAGUUUUGCCAAUUAACACUACUUAAAAUACGCAGAAUUUGAAAUUGAAUUUGAAUUAACACUAAAUGUACACUAAACCAAAAACAGGUUAUGAACAAUGUUUUGAUAGGAACACUACACACAAGCGUACACUGAAAACACCACAUGUUGUAGCAAAUACACUGAAGACACAAAUAAAAUAUUGUAUGGCUCAACCAAAA